rnacentral:rRNA from 1 species
GAUGAACGCUGGCGGCGUGCCUAAUACAUGCAAGUCGAGCGAACAGAUGAGGAGCUUGCUCCUCUGACGUUAGCGGCGGACGGGUGAGUAACACGUGGAUAACCUACCUAUAAGACUGGGAUAACUUCGGGAAACCGGAGCUAAUACCGGAUAAUAUAUUGAACCGCAUGGUUCAAUAGUGAAAGACGGUUUUGCUGUCACUUAUAGAUGGAUCCGCGCCGCAUUAGCUAGUUGGUAAGGUAACGGCUUACCAAGGCAACGAUGCGUAGCCGACCUGAGAGGGUGAUCGGACACACUGGAACUGAGACACGGUCCAGACUCCUACGGGAGGCAGCAGUAGCGAAUCUUCCGCAAUGGGCGAAAGCUUGACGGAGCAACGCCGCGUGAGUGAUGAAGGUCUUCGGGUCGUAAAACUCUGUUAUUAGGGAAGAACAAAUGUGUAAGUAACUAUGCACGUCUUGACGGUACCUAAUCAGAAAGCCACGGCUAACUACGUG